rnacentral:rRNA from 1 species
GACGAACGCUGGCGGCGUGCCUAAUACAUGCAAGUUGAGCGCUGAAGGUUGGUACUUGUACCUACUGGAUGAGCAGCGAACGGGUGAGUAACGCGUGGGGAAUCUGCCUUUGAGCGGGGGACAACAUUUGGAAACGAAUGCUAAUACCGCAUAAAAACUUUAAACACAAGUUUCAAGUUUGAAAGAUGCAAUUGCAUCACUCAAAGAUGAUCUCGCGUUGUAUUAGCUAGUUGGGGAGGUAAAGGCCCACCAAGGCGAUGAUACAUAGCCGACCUGAGAGGGGGAUCGGCCACAUUUGGACUGGGACACGGCCCAAACUCCUACGGGGGGCAGCAGUAGGGAAUCUUCGGCAAUGGACGGAAGGCUGACCGGGCAACGCCGCGGGGGUGGAGGAGGUUUUCGGAUCGUAAAACUCUGUUGGUAGGGAAGAACGUUGGUGAGAGUGGAAAGCUCAUCAAGUGACGGUAACUACCCAGAAAGGGACGGCUAACUACGUG